rnacentral:rRNA from 1 species
GUAAUAGCUCACUGGUCGAGUCGGCCUGCGCGGAAGAUGUAACGGGGCUAAACCAUGCACCGAAGCUGCGGCAGCGAACGUAUCACUUAAAGCGAUUCAGCGGGUUACGAUUGACGGAGCGAAGCGACGUCAAAGCGUAUACAAAGUCGAGUCGGUUUAAGGAUACGUUCGUUGGGUAGGGGAGCGUUCUGUAAGCCCGUGAAGGUGGCCUGUGAGGGUUGCUGGAGGUAUCAGAAGUGCGAAUGCUGACAUAAGUAACGAUAAAGCGGGUGAAAAGCCCGCUCGCCGGAAGACCAAGGGUUCCUGUCCAACGUUAAUCGGGGCAGGGUGAGUCGACCCCUAAGGCGAGGCCGAAAGGCGUAGUCGAUGGGAAACGGGUUAAUAUUCCCGUACUUGGUGUUACUGCGAAGGGGGGACGGAGAAGGCUAUGUUGGCCGGGCGACGGUUGUCCCGGUUUAAGCGUGUAGGUGUGUGUUCCAGGUAAAUCCGGUUCACUUUAACACUGAGGCGUGACGACGAGGCACUACGGUGCUGAAGCAACAAAUGCCCUGCUUCCAGGAAAAGCCUCUAAGCAUCAGGUAACAUCAAAUCGUACCCCAAACCGACACAGGUGGUCAGGUAGAGAAUACCAAGGCGCUUGAGAGAACUCGGGUGAAGGAACUA